GACGAACGCUGGCGGCGUGCUUAACACAUGCAAGUCGAACGAAGAGCGAUGGAAGCUUGCUUCUCUCAAUCUUAGUGGCGAACGGGUGAGUAACGCGUAAUCAACCUGCCCUUCAGAGGGGGACAACAGUUGGAAACGACUGCUAAUACCGCAUACGAUCUAAUCUCGGCAUCGAGGAUAGAUGAAAGGUGGCCUCUACAUGUAAGCUAUCACUGAAGGAGGGGAUUGCGUCUGAUUAGCUAAUUGGAGGGGUAACGGCCCACCAAGGCGAUGAUCAGUAGACGGCGGGGGGGGAGGAACGGCCACAUGGGGAUUGAGAACGGGCCAGGACCCCUAGGGGAGGCAGCAGUGGGGAAUUUCCCCAAAGGGAGGAAAGUCUGCGGGAGAACCGCCGGGGGAGGUAGAAGGGCCUUGGGGUUUAAAAGCUGUUUUAAGGGGGAGAAAAGGCUUUUUGGGGAAAGGUGGAAAGGAUGGAGGGAACCGAAAAAAAAAGCCACGGCAAACUACGG
rnacentral:rRNA from 1 species